rnacentral:tRNA from 1 species
GUUAUGGUUAAGUGGUAGAGCACUUGGUUAGUAUACAAGAGGCCCUGGGUUUGAUCCCCAGCAAAACA